rnacentral:rRNA from 1 species
UUUCGCAAUGCCCGAAAGGGUGACGAAGCGACGCCGCGUGAGUGAGGAAGGCCUUCGGGUUGUAAAGCUCUGUCAGGAGUUAAGAAAUAUAAGUGUGCUAAUACCACAUUUAUUUGACGAAGGCUCCAAAGGAAGCCACGGCUAACUCUGUGCCAGCAGCCGCGGUAAUACAGAGGUGGCAAGCGUUGUUCGGAAUUAUUGGGCGUAAAGAGCACGUAGGUGGGUUUGUAAGUCAGAUGUGAAAGCCUUCUGUUCAACGGAAGAAUUGCAUCUGAAACUGCGAGUCUUGAGUGUAGGAGGGGAGAAUGGAACUUCUGGUGGAGCGGUGAAAUGCGUAGAUAUCAGAAGGAACGCCGGCGGCGAAAGCGAUUCUCUGGCCUAUUACUGACACUGAGGUGCGAAAGUUAGGGGAGCAAACGGGAUUAGAUACCCCGGUAGUCCUAACCGUAAACGAUGGGCACUAAGUAGAGGGGUUUUA